GGACGUGGGAGACAAAUAAAGGCAACUCGUGUGAAGGCAUCUUGGCCGAGCUCUGGCCAUGGUGGUGGUGUGCCUCUCUUCCCAAGGCUGAUUUCAAGAGCACACAAAAUCUCUUUUGUAUUAGAUGCUUCUAUUUAACUUACCUACCAGCUUAGAGUCAAUGAGCCAUCACUUUUCCAUCAGACUGUCGGCUUGCGUGGUGGUUGGCUUAGACGUAUGCCAUGUUAGUCGAAGAGGAUGACCUUAGUCCUGGUGCUGUCCAUGGCGCUCCUUCUUCCUUAGUGAGCGCGACCUCAUCUCCACGGGUGAACCCAGCCGUAAUGCCUCUCUUAGCUUAUUCACCUCGCUGAAGUUACCACAUACUCUACUUUGCUCCCCUUUAGUUUCAUUUAAUCUUUCAUGUGUAUUUUGGUGCAUGGUAGACACAAAGCAUGAGAAACAAAUAUCAUGUCCUCUAUUCCAUUCAUAAUCAA